GAGUCUGCAGAUCAACUUUUAGGACUGAGAAAUAAAAGGAGAGAGAAUAGACUCUGGGCAAAAUUGGAAAAUAAGGGUACUCAAGCCUACUCUAAGCUUGGACCUAAAGAAGAAGAAUUCAGUAACUCUCUAUAAUAAUGAAGAGAAUCUCACACAGUGGGCCGCACACUCAAUUAUCUUCAGCGGAGUCCCAGGAAGCAGAGCAGUACAGUGAGACUGAAAUCAUUAUGUGGACGAAAUUCAUUACGCCAGGACUUGCCCCUCCAUGAAACAGCACUCCACAGCCAAUUGGAAUUCAUGGUCACAGACCUUUAUUGGAUCAUCAUGCUUUAUUGUCCAUAGCAAAUACAAAUACAGAGAGGAACAAUAACGACAUGAUACAUCCGACCUGCAAUUCCACCUUCAAAAGCUUUGCCCAAUGAACUCGAGUCCAGGUCACACGAGCCAGAAGCAGGAGAGGGACUUGCUGGCUUGAGCCUUGAGAAGACCUCCCCUCUGCCCUGAUUUUAUACCCUGCCAUCAGGAUAUGAUGUACCCUGGCACUGAUGUACAUCCAGGGAAGAAAGCUAGAGUUCACUUGUGGCAUAACAGAACCAGCUUCUGAAUAUAAAAGAAAAAUAUUGUAUAUAAAGUCAA